GACGAACGCUGGCGGCGUGCUUAACACAUGCAAGUCGAGCGGUAAGGCCCUUUCGGGGGUACGACGAGCGGCGAACGGGUGAGUAACACGUGGGUGACCUGCCCUCAGCUCUGGGAUAAGCCUGGGAAACCGGGUCUAAUACUGGAUAUGACUCCAUGACGCAUGUUGUGGGGUGGAAAGCCUUGUGCGGCUGAGGAUGGGCCCGCGGCCUAUCAGCUUGUUGGUGGGGUGAGGCCUACCAAGGCGACGACGGGUAGCCGGCCUGAGAGGGCGACCGGCCACACUGGGACUGAGACACGGCCCAGACUCCUACGGGAGGCAGCAGGUGGGGAAUCUUGCGCAAGUGGGCGAAAGCCUGACGCAGCGACGCCGCGUGAGGGAUGACGGCCU
rnacentral:rRNA from 1 species